CGGCCCGAACCGUUUUUCUCUCUUUUCUCCUCUCUCGUACAGCCUCCAACGCCACCUCCUUCUGUUCGCCGUGGCCCUCCUCUGCCCCGCCACCCAGCGGCCGCCGACGCCUCCUCCACCCCACCCCACGGCCCUCCUCUGUCCCGGCUCGCCGCUCGCCCGCCGUCGCCGCAAUCUCCACCUACGAUCCGCGCACGCCGUCGGAGGCACGCGACGAGGCACCGCAGCCCGCAUCGCCGGACACCCCUCCUCCUUAUGCCCUGAGGCCGACGCUGCCUCCUCCACCCCGAGGCCCUCCUCUGACCCGCCUCUCACCAAGCCCGCAUCGCACGCCAACCCCUCCUCCUUCUGCACUGAGGCCGCCACCGCCUCCUCCACCCCGAGGCCCUCCUCGGCCCUGCCUCUGCCCGCCAUGCUCGCUUGCCAACCGUCGCCGGCGAUCUCCACCUGUGAUCCGUGGCCGCCGUCAGAGUCCCCCGGGUCCUCGAUUCCGUGUCACGGUGAGUCCGGCCUUCUGGAGCACCGAGCCGUUCUUGGCUUUCUUCAUUUGAUUUUAGGGUUGGUUACAUCUGAAGGCAUGCUGCAACUACCGAGAUCUGCCUGCUAAUCUUCCCAUUAUGUGUCAGUCUACAAUUGCUUUCAUAUUUUUAACACAAUCUGCACUUUAGAAUACUAAUCCUCUUGCUUUUCUCUUCUUUUUUUCUUUAUUUUGCAGCCAUCUAAUGUAGUAAGAGAGAUGUAUGCAGGUACCUGGAAUUGUGGAUGUUCAACAAAAUGUGAAACAUUGGGCCCAACUGGAACUAAAUAUGGAUAUAGAUAAAUAUUAGAAUUUUUAAUUUUGAAGCAUCCUAGGCUCCUGGUCUGCAUUAUGCAGUUUUUUUUUGACGAAAACGACAGCGCCGAUUCAAUUAAUUAAGAGUUGGAUUUUACAAGCGCAAAAUGCGCGAAACAGAAAGAAAAAAAAAGAGAGCAACACAGAUAGCUUACACAAAGGACAUCGCCACAAGAAAAGCACACACGUCGCUAGAGGAGCGCUCGCAACCCAUCGAAGGGCAUCUCAACACCGAGACAUUGCGAAGAGCACAAACAUCGCCACCCUACUCGGCAGCCAUCACCAUGACACUGGAGUCAACAUGUCAACGAGUGCCGCCAUCGCCGUCGAAGGACUGCCAUCUGCCGAGACAUACGUUCGAAGGGCAUUAGGAAGCUGAGACCCGACACCGCGCACGAACCUUGACCGCCAAUCCUGUCACAUGAUACCCCGAGCACGCUGUGGAGAUGCUGGCCAUUAUCUUUUGUAUGUUUUCAUGUUAUUUUAGUUAUUUUUGCCUCAGCACUGCAUAACGGUUGUUGGUGUAUCAUACCCAGAAUAAUUAGCAUGAGAUGAGAUGCAGCCAUGGUCAGGGUAACAAAUUACUUUAGUUUGCAAGUGAACAUAUAUUUUUCUGUGAAUUCAAAAAUAUCUACUUGAGAUGAGAGUUCCAUGGGUACUUGUGGAAUCAAUAUCGGUUUUAUGCAUAUAUGUAUGUUUCCAUGCUUCGGUUCUAAGGCAACACCUUGGUACAUUUGGAAUCAAUACUAAGUAUCCUUUCCCAUUCUUGCUUUUGCUCCAUCAUUUUCCUUGCCCCAAGGUUGCAGCCGCAGACAAUGUGAACUUGUGUGAUUAAAGGAGCAGUACUUCCUUCACAGCACAUCACUUCAGGUAAUUAAUUGGUUGGUUUUGUUUGGAAGGAUAGUUACUAUAAAAAGAAGCUGCACCAAUGGCCAUCUCAUGCAUGCUUUUCUGUUUUGUUUGAGAAAUGGAGUGAAAGCAAAGAAUGUUAAAUGCUCUGGAUCGAGCUGUUCUGAUGAUAUGCUCCAUUGUGUGCUGCUGUUAACAAAGAAUGUUAAAUGCUCCGUUUCAGAAGUUUGAGUGACACUUGGAAUUUGCUCUCAGGAAAGCAUGCAAAGAUAAUUCUAGCAGUGCCUUUGUUAUCUGAAGGUUGCAAAGAUCGAUGACGACGAUUUAAGCAAUAGGGAUGAGUCUUCUUGAAUACUUAAACAAGCAGAGAGCAGAGCCGGCCACUGGAGAGAUGAGAUAAUAAGAUUACAUUUCCAGGCAACCAGGAGCUCUCCAUUGGACGAGAAACCAUGGGGCCCUCAAAAGAAUCGUGACCGCCUCGGCCGGCAGCAGCGACUGGGCAGCGCGUUGUCGAGAUUGUUGCUACUGCUGCAUUACACCGACCUGAACUUAACUACGGUAUGUAAGUUCUGAAUCAACUUGUGACGACCACCCAGCCUGCUGUGUUCUGGUCAAGUCUCACUUCAACAUUUCUGGCUGUCUCCAAGCUCGGUGACAAUACACGGUAUUCCUGGAAGAAUUGGGUUGCAUUGUAAAUUAAUACCUGACAAUUUGAUCUUAUGGCCUGCUGGAUACAAGACGAGAUGUUCGUGGUUUUGGUUGAUCUGGUAUGUGCUGUGAUGGAGACAGGAGAGAGCAGAAUCGACCAUAAUGGAGUCCUUCAGAAUGAAUGAUCGCCAUGAUGGUCAUGGUGGAAGCUGCAUUCCAACACGACUUUUAGUAUAACCUGUAUUUAUUUUGUGAACAGAUUUGUCUUGCAAUAUUCAGAUAGAGUAAGGCACAUUGCAUUUAAGAAUAUUGAGAGGCUGAAAUUUUCGUGAUUAGUCUGCGUAUUUGCAUGUGACUUGCUAUUUUUGCAUGGUACAUUCAUAUGGAGCAUUCACUCUAAUGUACGUACAUAUCUUUCCGGUUGAAACUUGAACUAAGUA